rnacentral:lncRNA from 1 species
UUGAGGUUUUAGGUGCAAGCUUCUUCCAACCACUGAGCCAUCCUCAAUCAAACCUGGCAGUACAUUACACAAUCUUAUCCUCACCAGCAGAUGGGGCUUAUCAUGAAACUCACUGUCUUAUAUCAGGAUAUAGUAAUUGGAACCAAGUGCUUUAUCUUUACCAUAUACCAAUCCAUGAAUCAACUCCAAAACAGAUCUCUAGAAACAGACAAGACUGACUACUGCCUGAAGGUUUCUGACACUAAGUUCCUGAGAGGAAUACAUUCUCUUCUCCUUUGGCUGCUUAAUCCCUUCUCAUGAAAAAUAACCUUGACC